rnacentral:lncRNA from 1 species
AACAUUUGAAUGCCGAACACUAAGAAAAGAAGAAUCUGUUGACACCUUCGGUGGAGGUGGCUUAGGUGGUGGUGCGGGUGGAGGUUUUGGGGGUGGUAGUGGUGGAGGUGUUGGAGUAGGAUUUGGACACGGUGGAGGUAUUGGAGCUGGUGGUGGCUUUCGAGGCGGGGCUGGAGGUGGUAGUGGUGGUGGAGGAGGAAUUGGAGGUGGUCAUGGUGGUGGUGCAGGUGGAGGCUUUGGAGGUGGAUUGGAGCUGGUGGUGGCUUUCGAGGCGGGGCUGGAGGUGGUAGUGGUGGUGGAGGAGGAAUUGGAGGUGGUCAUGGUGGUGGUGCAGGUGGAGGCUUUGGAGGUGGUAGUGGUGGUGGUGCAGGAGGAGGAAUUGGUGGUGGACACGGUGGUGGAUUAGGUGGAGGUGGUGGUGCGGGUGGAGGCUUCGGAGGAGGUAGUGGUGGUGGACAUGGUGGUGGAUUAGGUGGAGGUAGUGGUGGUGGUGCUGGAGGAGGAAUUGGUGGUGGACAUGGUGGUGGAUUAGGUGGAGGUGGUGGUACAGGUGGAGGCUUCGGAGGAGGUAGUGGUGGUGGUGCUGGAGGAGGUAUUGGUGGAGGACAUGGUGGUGGAUUAGGUGGAGGCGGUGGUACAGGUGGAGGCUUUGGAGGUGGUAGUGGUGGUGGUGCAGGAGGAGGAAUUGGUGGUGGACAUGGUGGUGGAUUAGGUGGAGGUAGUGGUGCAGGUGGAGGCUUCGGAGGUGGUAGUGGUGGUGGUGUAGGAGGAGGAGUCGGUGGUGGACAUGGUGGUGGAUUAGGUGGAGGUGGUGGUACCGGUGGAGGCUUUGGAGGUGGUAGUGGUGGUGGCGUGGGAGGAGGAAAUGGCGGUGGUGGUGGUAUAGGUGGAGGAGGAGGUGUCGGAGGAGGCAUUGGAGGUGGUUCUGGAGUAGGUGGAGGUGUUGGAGGUGGCUUUGGAGGUGGACAUGGUGGUGGUGCAGGAGGAGGCAUUGGUGGGGGUGGUGGAAGAGGUGGAGGUGCAGGCGGAGGAUUCGGGGGUGGAUCUGGAGGAGGUGCGGGAGGCGGCUUUGGAGGUGGUCAUGGUGGGGGUGUAGGAGGUGGUUUUGGAGGUGGUGGUGAUGAUCGAGUUUAAAUCAAUAUUCAUGAUGUUAUAUAAAAUGUAAUGUACUAUAUAUGAAUCUAAUGAAAUAAAUGCAUCUUUUUAUUAAAUAUGAUUUGGGCUUAUUCGUAGAAUUUAUUCAUAUUUAAAAAUAUCUAAUGUUAAUUAGAAUAAUUUGAUUUAAGUAAUAUGAUGAAAGUUAAAUCACAAUUUUUUUUUUGAUAUUUAGUUUAAUUUUAAUUUCUUAACUUAAAAAACA